rnacentral:rRNA from 1 species
GGAUUAGAUACCCUGGUAGUCCACGCCGUAAACGAUGAUAACUAGCUGUCUGGGUGCUUGGCACUUAGGUGGCGCAGCUAACGCAUUAAGUUAUCCGCCUGGGGAGUACGGUCGCAAGAUUAAAACUCAAAGGAAUUGACGGGGGCCUGCACAAGCGGUGGAGCAUGUGGUUUAAUUCGAAGCAACGCGCAGAACCUUACCAGCGUUUGACAUGUCCGGACGAUUUCCAGAGAUGGAUUUCUUCCCUUCGGGGACUGGAACACAGGUGCUGCAUGGCUGUCGUCAGCUCGUGCCG